GACGAACGCUGGCGGCGUGCUUAACACAUGCAAGUCGAACGGAAAGGCCCUGCUUUUGUGGGGUGCUCGAGUGGCGAACGGGUGAGUAACACGUGAGUAACCUGCCCUUGACUUUGGGAUAACUUCCGGAAACUGGGGCUAAUACCGGAUAGGAGCUCCUGCUGCAUGGUGGGGGUUGGAAAGUUUCGGCGGUUGGGGAUGGACUCGCGGCUCAUCAGCUUGUUGGCGGGGUAGUGGCUUACCAAGGCUUUGACGGGUAGCCGGCCUGAGAGGGUGACCGGCCACAUUGGGACUGAGAUACGGCCCAGACUCCUACGGGAGGCAGCAGUGGGGAAUAUUGCACAAUGGGCGGAAGCCUGAUGCAGCAACGCCGCGUGCGGGAUGACGGCCUUCGGGUUGUAAACCGCUUUCGCCUGUGACGAAGCGUGAGUGACGGUAAUGGGUAAAGAAGCACCGGCUAACUACGUG
rnacentral:rRNA from 1 species